CUCGGACCAAAGACAGGACCAGUGUUCUGGAAAAACACCGGGAUCUUUGAGAGGAAACAGCAAACGCCACUCAUUCAGUCACGUUAAAUAAACACGGAAUGUUCAAACAAUCAUUUCAGCACAAGGAGUGAGCUAGAGAUAAGCAUCUUCUCCAAACUUCCUCCUGCUAAGCACAUAGCUAACACUCCCUCCUCUCCUUGGCCCAAAAGAAGUGACAGAAUAU
rnacentral:lncRNA from 1 species